UAGGCAGUUGUGGAGAGUAAAAACGCCAGCUUUGGGAGCUGGCGAUAGAGGUUUGAGUCCUCUUUUUCUGA
rnacentral:tRNA from 1 species